rnacentral:lncRNA from 1 species
UUUUUUUUUUUUUUUUUUUUGUCAACAGGCUUUGAUUAGUGUGAUAUGCUUUUCUAUGGAUUUAUUAUACUUGCACAAUAUUUGAUUAGCGCCAUGUGUAUAAUUUUAGUUUACAAUGCGGAAUAAUAAUAUAUACUCCUUCUGUUCACAAUUUUUCUUUUUUUAUAACAAAGAGUGAUAUUCUACAUUUUUAGUUUACCCUAAACUCAAAAUUGAAUUUAAAUAAAUCAUUUAUUUAAAUCAUUUACGUAUUAAAUUACGAAAUACAUGUGUAACUUAAACUUUUCUUAGUUUAUAUGAUAUAUGUCAAAAUGAUAAUUUUUGUGAAACUGAAGAAAUAUAACCUUUCGUUUUAGGUAUCUAUAUAUAUAUAUAUAAAACAUGAUCAAGUAGCAUACAAAACAUUGGAUUAGUUUAGUGGUUGUUCAAGAUGAUGUUUAUUAUGUGGGUUAUAUGACACUCAUGACUCAAUUACUAGUUACCUUUAUACUUUAAUGGAUUUUUAUUAGUAAUCCUUAUAAGAAUUAAUUACCUUGAUCAACUCUCACCAGCGCCAGAUUUGUCACAUUGAGAGAUAACUGUAUGAUAUAUAGUUACAGCUCAUAAAAUUAACAAGUACAAAAAAAAAAUUAAAAAAAUCUGAAUUGCAAUUAUAAAAAGAGCUUUUCUAUAAUGACAAAACAACAAAACCCAGAUAGGUUUUAUGAUACACUUGGGAACCCUCACUGCACAUUUCCCCAAAACUGUGACAAUUGUCCAUCACAUCUCUUGAAGAGAACAAAACCCGUUUUCAGAUAAGUCAUGAUCUCUUUGCUUAGAAUGUGACAAGUAGAAUUGUAUGAUAGAAAGACCUCAGGCUUGAGAACAGUUUGUAUAGUUUCAGGUAAAUAACAUCUUCAGUUCCUCUAUACGUGCACUUCGUACUUCUUGAUCGGUUAAAGCCCCUGAGAUCAUUCUCUGCUUCCUCGCCUGAACAGCCUCCAUUCUCUCCUCAACUGUUCCCUAUGAUUUCACAAAGGCAAGACAAACAUAUCCCACAAGUUUCUAAUGAUCAAAUACUCAGCAACAACAUUUGAUGAUUCUGGAUAUUGUAUCAAUGAUUGGUCACAUGACAAAACGAGGAUUUAUGGCUGGAAAUGAAGAGGCUACCUUAAUGAUGAAUCUUCUGAUUUUUACUUCCUUAGUCUGUCCUAUACGAUGAAUACGCAUGACAGCCUGUUCCUCUACCGCUGGGUUCCACCAUGGAUCCUAUAGGACAUAGUUUAGUUUGAUUUUCAAUUGAAUAUAUCUAUUUCGUAUUGUGCAGUACUCAUUUACAAGAUUCUUUUUUCGCAUUUUUUGAAUGAGUUCUAAACAUGGUCUUUUAUAACUAACAUGAUCUUUAAGGGACAUUAAUAGAUAGAUAUGCCAUACCAUGACAAAAGCAUUGGACGCAGCUGUUAGAUUUAUCCCGACACCACCAGCUUUUAGAGACAUCAGCAUUACCUAUCCAACAAUUAAAGAAGAGUGUUGACUACAAUUUAGAAACUCGAAAGUUUUGAACAUUUCAAUGUAAUGGGAUGUACACCAACCAUGAUACUGGCAUCUUCAGAAAAUUCUUUAAGGACUUUCUCUCGUUGCUGCUGACUUAGAGUGCCAUCAAGACGGACAAAUGAGAUGUUGUUCCUGGAGAUGAAAGAAUUAAUUUAAAAUUUUGUUAUAAUUUAGGUUUUUGAAAACCAUUUUUUUUCUCACAAGGCAUGUAAAUAGUAUACCGAGAGAGAGGAAUUUGAAGAAGAUCGAGGAAAGCGGUCCAUUGGCUAAAGAGAAUGCUCUUGGAGCCUGAAGAACGAAGACUUUCAAGCUCUUCCAGAAGAGCAGUGAUUUUGGAUGAUUCUACCCAGUUCUUCUCCACGUCAACUUGGAAUCUACUUUCUGUUGGUGCUGUGAUGAGUUCUUGUUUGCUUACAGUUUUCCUGCAAAACAAAGAUUAACCAUCAUUGGCCUUUGACCUAACUGAAAUAUGGAAUCAGUAGCAAGGACAUCAAAUGAAAACUAGUAACAGCAGGAAGAACUUCCAGAUACCUACACACGGGACAUAACCCAGAAGCAGAAUUUCGCCAACUCGCCAAGAGACACUCACGACAUAAUCUAUGAGCACAUGGAGUUAAUACGGCAUCCUCAAACGCUUCAAGGCAUAUUGGACACUCUCCUUGUUCUCCUUUGCGUAGUUCCUCUACCACCUCCUGAACAAAAGCCACUGAUGGUAAAUCUUUUCCUUCCCUUUCUAGACAAGAAGACUUUCCACUAAGGAAACGUUUUGAGAGCUUAUUCAAAUCAGAGUAUUCCGCUGUAUCACCUCGGCUGGAUGCAUAAAAAAAAGACAGUUAUAAGAAAUAUGGCGAUUGCGUCAACAAAAUGUCAAACAAAACGAGGGCUACAGUUGCAUGAUUCUUAUAACAUAUUGUCAAUGAUAUUUUCUUGGAUAUUUUAGACAAGGUUGGGCAACAGAUAGAUUGAAUGCGAAAAGUUAUAAUUGAUAUGAAAGCAAUGGAAGUUACAACUUACAACCAGUUCCAGCCACUAUGAGUCUCUACUUAAAUAAAAGCAAGGGGUUACGAGACACACCUCAUCACUAAAAAUGGGUGAUCACAACACUGUCGAAGACGCAAAAGCAGUUCCAGGAUUGAAGCAUAAUUAUGAAGAACUUUGCCUUGUGCAACAAAUUGAUCAAAUUUGACCUGAAAAAAAUACGUCAGCAUCUUCAGUAUAGACAUCUUAAACUCCGAGUAAAAAAAUACUAUAAUCAUGAGGACAAACAAUACCUUGGAUCUUUUAAAUAGCGCAUCGUAGAAAUCCUUCUCAGACUCUGAGAGUUCACAGUAAAUGACCCGUGCAUCAGCAGGGGGUAGAACAAGAAUCGGCCUAAAAUAAACAAACAUGCUUUUAAACGAGGAAACAAAGGAAAAUAGUAUGUUUUAUAAGUAUCAGGAAGUUAUAUGACAGAUCUUUUAUUUGUAGUAUUCCUACCUUCCUUCUCGAUCUGUGCUAGACUUAGUUCUCCUAAGCAUGAUGGGUUUUAAGAUUGACUGCACUAGUUUUAGCCCUCUCUCAUCGCCCUCUUCAAAUGGCUUUUGGACAAGUUUAUUCCACCUAAGAAUAAAUAUGUUCCAAACUAACAAGCUUCAGUCAUUCCAUACCAAAUGUAAUGUGUUUCCAACCAAAGAUAGAUAAAGACCCUUACCAUGCCCAAGUUCCCCAUGGCUCAAUCCUCAAAAAUCGUAGGAGGCUGUACAAGUCCUCCAGAUUGUUCUGUUAAUAAGAUAACAUGUGAAAUGAUUACAAAGUCCCAAAUAUGAUAAACAAAUCUUUGUCCAUCAUCCAUUUGAAUGAGCCAAGAUUAUCAUGCCAGUAUACUGCAAGCCAUAUGAAAUUUAUCCUUAAAAGAAAAGUUUUGAGGUAAAACUGAGACUUGUGUACAAAAAACAUGCUUAAGAAGAUGAUAACCUUCUAGUAGAGAUUUAGACCAUUCAAAUCUCAGGUAUAUAUUAGAUGUCCAACUACUAAAAUGAUUUCACAGAUAGAAUGGCAGAGUCCAACGAAAGUUUAGCCUAUAGGACGGUCAGAAACAAAGAUUUAUAUAUAAACCCUCGACAAAAAGGUUAAUCACCUGAAUAGGCGUACCCGUAAGGCACCAACGCCGAUCUGCAACCAGAGCUGCAGCAGCCAAAGAAAUUUGGCUUUUUGAGUUUUUGAUGGUAUGUGCCUCAUCAAGAACAAUCCUAAACCAUCGAACAGCAUAAAGUCCUCCACUGUCUGCUGAGUUCUAAGGAGAAGGAAAAAAAACAGAGAAGAUAGGAGUUCAUGUGAUAGAUUUUUAAACUAUAUACAUGGAAUAAUAAUGACCCGAAAUAAGACUACGAAAGCUACCUCUGCUGAAAAUUCAGAUGUUAGAACUCCAUAUGUAGUGAUUACCACAUCACUCUGGGAAAGAAGUUUCGUAUCCUUUGGCCUGCUUUGCCCAUAAUGAACAUAGACAGAUAAAGAUCCAGGCUUUGCAUGCAUUUCAAUUUCUGACUGAAACAAGUGCAAAAAAAUAAAUAAUCAGUUGAAACAAGUAAAAACAAAGAAUAAAUAACAACUUUCGUAUAACCAAGCUAAGUAUGCACGUGCAUCAAGCAUGGUAAUAAGUUAUCAGCAUCAGAUGUAAAUAAUACCUUCCACUGUCCUAAAAGUGUCAUCGGACAUACAAUCAGGUUACCACCAUUUUCAAGACUUUUCUGGUCAAGAAGCUUCUUAUCAAAGCCUGGAAAUUUGGUUGCCUUCAACGGGAGACUAGCGAACUCAUCUAAAGAACUGCUGAUCACUUUGUCUCCUUCAUAGUUGGGGCAUAGAAACCCAGUUGAUGCAGUUUUCCAAGAAUGGGAAAGCAUAAGCGAUAUGGUCAUUACGGUUUUUCCGAGACCCAUUGCGUCUGCUAAAAUCUGCAAAGGUAGAAUGAAUAUCAUAAACAUAUUACAAAACAACUAUAUAACAAAGUGACAAAAUGUAGAUGACAAGUAAAAAUAUUGUUUGUAGGUGGGUUAUUGAGAUCAUACCCCUCCUCUUGCCAUUUGAAGUGUGCUAGGAAAGUGUAUUGUAGCAUCACCAGUAAAAGAAUUAAGGUAGACAACAAGUUCCCUCCUAUUGACAUAAAACAUAUAGUAAAUAUUUCAUCUGACUAGCACAAAAGUGGCAGGUAAUAGAAACAUAGCUUACUUGUCUGCUAAACAGUAUGCUUCCCAACAUGGGUGAAGCAUUGUUGCUGCCUCAUCAGUGCAAUUUCCUUUCUCCAAUUGGGUCAUCCAAUGAAGUGCCUGCUUUUGAUAUGGACGAAGCUCACACAAAAGUUGAUGUGGAGUUUCCAGUUCCUGUUGCAAUUUUUUUUCACGUAAUUUGCCAAAAGAAUUUCUAAUGCCAAAUAUAAGCAAGCAAAAAGUUCAAGAAAUGAGGAUACCUUUAAUCCAGAACUGUCCCCAACACCAACAAUGUUAUCAAGAUCACCAUCACUGAUACACUGUUCAUUUUCAUCGCCGUUUGCAUUUUGACUCUGAGUCUUGACCUUGUUUAACUCAAGCAACGAAGUUGUAAGAGCAGAACCAUCCUAUUUCCCAAGGAACAGACAGCAGAUGAAAAACUAGAAAAGCAAGAUGUCGAAGGUUAAAAUGCUUAUAUAAAUGCAAAUUUUACCUUGGAACUCAAAGGUCGCUUCCUAGUGGACAAGUCCUCAGGAGUAAACUCUGCCUAGACAUGAAGAAGAACAAUGAAACAUUGUCACAGAUAACUGGCCAACUAAAUUAAAAUCAAAGAAUGGAAAUAUUCUUGUGCCAUCUCAAGAACUCGCAGUCACAUCAUAUGGGAACUUUAAACGACAAUCUUUAAAACAGUUAGCAAUUCAAAGGAUUAUAGGCAAGGGCAAACCAGUACCUUCUUAAAGGGGAUCAAACCAAGUAAACGAAAGAGAUUUGGGAGAGGAUGGAACACUGAAUCCUCUGCCGUAGUACUGGCUGUCUUAAAUGAUGUUGCACUAUGCUUUUGGAACAUGGAACUAUUAAUAUACACGCUGUUUCAAAAACAAACACACCACUUCAAAAACCAAUGCAUCUACCCUAGCAUAGUCAAUUGGAACGCAAUAUCUUGUAUGCAUACCUUACAGAAAGAAGAAUAGUGUCCAUGAUACUCAAUGUUUCAGGCGCCAACUUGCAGCUCCCUUCUAUCCGAAUUUUCUUGUCUCUCACAAGUGGUAGAAGACACCGUGCCCACUCAUUUGGUAUUCUACCAAUCUAUGACAAUAAAUCCCAUUUAACAGUUUUCCAUCCCAUAAACAUGAAAACAUAACAGAUUAAGAGCGAACCCGCAACCAAAUAAAACAAGAAAUCAAAAUGCACCUCUCCUGAAUCCUUUGUAGAGAACCUGACGAUAUCAGAAGCACCACGCAAAGCUGGCCUUCCCCGUCCAAAUCCGCGCUUCCCAGGCGUAGUCUCAGACUUUGAUCCUUUACUAUGCGGAAACGUGAACACCAAUUCGUCACCGGACUUCAAUUUCCUUCCUUUACAUGUCGACAACCCCGCCAAUUCAGAACAGCCCACAAACCACCACUCAUUCCCUAGAACACUCUCUUCUCCACCAUUAACACACUCAUCUUCUUCCUCCGCACGAUGAUUCUCUCCAACACUUGCAAAAGUACAGCCAUGUAUUCCAUUAUCUACUUUCUUCCCUCCAUUAGAGCCACUUGGGAUAGGAGUGGCUACAACAUCAGGUGGUUUGCUGAAAGUUGGAGUGUCAAAGAUUAUAUUGAUGGCUGCCGUUGGGUCAUGAUUCGCCAUAUGCAAAGCCCGUCUUAUGUCCAUGUCAGAGUAAUCGGAACCCACAACUGCUCUGACUGUAGAAACCAAAUCUUCUGAAACUUUCGUUCCCAUAUCAAAACCCUAACCCUAAAAUAUCAGGGGGAAAGUUUGAAAAUUUCUUGAAAUUUCAGACAGAUUGUGGCUAAAGAACGCCGAAACAAGCUAACCCAAUUUAGAAAUUGAAGCAGAUCGACGGCGGCGUACGAAAUCUGCCGGACCCGAGAAACGCGCGUAAAUUAGCGACGAUAGUAUCCAAACUCCCGCCAUUAUAAUAUUUUUAUUUUUAAGUGACAAAAAUGAAAAGUAAAUACUGAAACGGCGACGUUAAAGUAUCCAGCGGGUCUAGAUCCGGGUAACCCGAUUCCCGAGUUGAACUCAGUUAAACAAUAGACCACAAAAUCUGCCAUUAGUGAGAACUGUAGUGACACGAUUGUUAAAGCUCAUCUUUUUUUCUUUCUCUCUCUUUUUUGGUUUACAUGAGCUCUGUAAGUGCUUCAUUAAUGGCGGUUAUCAAAAUCUAGUAAGGUUUAGCAUAAAUUCUAUCCAUUUCGAAGUUCAAAAGUGAAAGAUUUCAGAUUUAUCGGUGGGGAGUGUUUUUUAUUGUUGGAUCAUGGUUCUGAUUUCUUUUUGCUUCAGCUUCAAUUUAUAGGAGUUUCGUGGAUCUUAGAUUUUGAUGUGGCUAUGCCUUAUAUGGUUCGAUUUAUGGAAAAGGAGUGAUUUUUGGAAUCAUAGGAGAAAUGGAUUAACGAUAUUUGAAUCUGGGGACUGAUUUGGAUCUGGUUUAGGUGGAAUUGAUGGAAGGAAAGGUGGCUAGACCUAGAGGUAGACCGAGGAAACGCCAGAGACCUGAUGAUCAAAAUGGAGUGUCUAAUCGAGGGAAGAGGCCGGUUUUGGAGAUGAAAGUGACAGUACCUAGAUCUCUUCUUGGUCGUUAUGUGUUGAAGGAUUUUGAUGACAGUAGAGUUUCUCUUGGGAAGAUAAUUUCGUAUAAUAGUGGGUUGUAUAGAGUUGAUUAUGAGGAUGGUGAGUUUGAGGAUCUGGAAACUUGUUAUCUUCGUCAGUUAAUUAUUGGGGAUAGUUACUUUGAUGAUGAAUUACGUGUUAGAAGAAGUAAAUUAGACGAAUUUAUACUGAAAAAGGACGAAAGGAAGAAAACAGAUUACAUCAAGAACAAAGGAGUUGAGCUGCAAAAUCGAGUGAAUGAAGUUGAGGUGCCCACAUCUACUAGCCCAAGUUCUGUGGCAGAAGUUGAAAGUGGUUGUUCGUCUUCUUGUUUACCUGACUGUGAAGAUAACAGAGAUCCAUAUAUAGAAACUAUGUCGCCUCUUGUCCCAGUUCCACCAGUGGAUUUACCUUCUUCAUCAGGAACAAUUUGUAUCCCUGAGGAGGCUGUGGUGCAUCUUUUAUCUGUAUACGGUUUCUUAAGAUCAUUCAGUGUUCAGUUAUAUAUCCUCCCAUUUGGAUUGGAUGAUUUUGUGGGAGCAUUGAAUUUCGGAGGACCAAAUUCUUUGCUGGAUGCCAUUCAUGUUGCCUUGAUGCGGGCACUGAAGGGUCAUCUUGAAAGACUCUCCUUAGAAGGGUCUGAAGUGGCUUCGAAAUUCCUGAGGUAAGCGCAGACAACUUUUGCUGUUUACAGUUUUCAACAGAUGUCUUUGUUAAUGUAUUGUCUUGAUUUUGUAACUUUAUGUGUUGCUUUCCGGAGAUGUUUUAAGUUUACUUUCCCAUAUCCUUAGUUUUUUUUCAGUGCAUUAAUCAUUUCGUGAAACAGCAGAAGUUUGUUGGGUAUAUGAACUCUAAGGAAGCAGAAUUGCUGACAUCAAAUUUAAAGCUCAUGAAUUCUGUUCUUUUUCUUUGUUUGUUUUAAAUGUACAUUUUUUAUUAGCUGGGAGAGAAUGGCAUAUGGCUGUAGAGAAACUGUAAUAGAAUUAUCUUAUUCAUAGUUUAGGUGAAGUUGGUUUAGGAUCUCCAAUAUCUUAGUGGAUAACAAUUCGGGGAUUUUGUUGCAUUACCAUCUGCAGGUGCAUUGAUUGGAGCUUGCUCGAUGCGCUAACUUGGCCUGUUUAUUUGGUUCAGUACUUUUCUGCCAUGGGACAUGCAAGUGGGCCUCUCUGGAGAGUUUUUAAUGAAUACGUUGUGGAGAAAGAGUAUUAUUCCUCACCUGUAGUGAUGAAGUUGAAGAUCCUGCAAAUUCUGUGUGAUGAUGUCUUUGAUGUAGCAGAUGUAAGAGCUGAAAUUGAUACUCGAGAAGAAUCUGAAGUUGGAGUUGAUCCUGAUGGCGUUACUGCUGACCUUCCUGAAACUGGACCUAGAAGGGUCCACCCCAGAUUUGCUAAAACCUCAGCUUGCAAGGAGAAAGAGCUUAGUGAAUUUGUUGCAGUUAAUCAUGGGAUAACUUCAAUGAAUGAGUCAAAAAAUUUGAGUUCAAGAUAUACUGAUGGUGGUCAUGGAGAUAGCUCAGAUCUGGAUGGGAACAGUGAUGAAUGUAGGCUCUGCGGCAUGGAUGGGACGUUGCUGUGCUGUGAUGGAUGCCCUUUAGCAUAUCACUCGAGAUGCAUUGGUGUGAUCAAAAUGUAUAUACCAGAUGGGCCGUGGUAUUGUCCAGAAUGCACAAUCAAUAAAAUAGGGCCAACUAUUGCUCAUAAAACGUCACUCAGGGGAGCAGUGUAUUUUGGAGUGGAUCCACAUGGGCGACUCUUCUUGGGUACAUGCAAUCACUUACUGGUGUAUGUUUUCGACCCCUUAUUUCAGAUACUGUCUUUCAAGCUGAUCUUCAAUUCUGUAUUUUUCCAUAUUCAUUUAGAUUCUCGACAAAUUGGUUUUUGCAGUCUAUACUUAUCAUCUUGUCUAGAUUUUUCUUAAUGUUGGAAAACCAUAUUGCUUGAAUUGUUUCUUAGUAGACGCUGAUGAAUAUUUCGCUUAUAUUACAGGCUUAAAAUUUCUGUCCAUGCGGAUGCAGAUAUUAAAUACUACGAUGCCACCGACAUUCCAAAAGUUGCCCUGGUGCUUUUGUCUGCAACGAACCAUAGAAUGGAAUAUCUGUAUAUAUGCAAAGCGAUCUCGCAAUACUGGGAUCUGCCUGGAGGUUUGAUCUCUUAUCUGAGAGCAGUGGAGAUUGAUUUAGCACACAUGCAAAAAGAAGGGUGCGACGAGGUGUCAGCCGUAUUUAGACCUGAUAGUGCAAGUAGUUCCAGUGGAAAUAAAAUUCAAAUUGCGUUUGGCCUCCACGCAUCUGCUUCAGGCUGUACUGGCAGUCCCGUAUUAGGAGGACCAAGUGGAGUGCAAGAGAAGAAUCUAGUUGCUGGCAUUACACUCAAGGGUUCUUCAUUUAAACCUCAUACUUACAUUAAUCAUUACACUAAUGGAGAAUUGGCUGCAUCAGCUGCUGCUACUUUUGCUGUCCUAUUGUCAGAGGAAACCCAUGAACCUGAUCUUCAAAAAUUUAGUAACGCCAAGAAAGCUGCAGCGAGUAACAUCUUGCUACAGGUGAAAGCAUUUUCGUUAGUAGCCUUGCGUUUCUUCUGGCCAAGUCCUGAUAAGAAGGAAAUCACAAGGGAAAGGUGUGGAUGGUGUCAUUCUUGCAAACUCACUUCGGCAAGUAGGAGAGGAUGCAUGUUAAAUGCAGCUGUAACAGGGGCCACCAAAAGUGCCAUGAAAGUCUACAGUGACCUUUUUCCACUUAAAAAUGGGGAUGGAGUACUUUCUAGUAUUGCAGCAUAUCUCCUAUAUCUGGAGGAAAGCUUACGUGGUCUCAUUGCGGGGCCAUUUCUUAGUGAGAGUUUUAGGUAUCAGUGGCGUAAGAAGUUAGAGGAAGCUUCAACAUGCAAAGCGAUUAAAGCCCUCCUGCUUGAAGUAAGUAUCUUUUUUUCUUUCCAAAAUUUUUUGUUCGUAUUCUCUUUCUUUUCCUAUAAACAAAUAAUUGUAUUUUUUCUUGUCAUUUGCACUUUUCGGAUUUGAUGUAUCACUUGUCAACCAAAAAGUGAUAUGUUAACAGUCCUUGGUUUGUCAUUAUAUAUGGGGUGUUUUCAUUGGCAUGAUAGGGUUCAUUUUGCUUGUUCGCAGCUUGAGGAAAACAUUUGUAGUAUUGCUCUGUCAAGUGACUGGCUUAAAUUAGUGGAUGAGUGGUUAAUAGAACAUUCUAUAUUUCAAAGCGCUCCAGUUACUGUUGCGGGCACACAGAAACAUAGACCUGGUAAGAGGAGGCAGAGGAACCAGGCCGAAAUUACAGCCCAAGGUUCUGAUGAUGAUAGCUUUACUUGGUGGCGAGGGGGGAAGAUAUCAAAAGUUAUACUCCUGAAGGCUGUCUUGUUGAAGCCUAAGAGAAGGAAAGCAGCUUCGCAAGGUAACCUUGUAUGGCUAUGUUUUUGGUGCUUGUCAACAUUCUCACGUAAAUAUACAAUGUUUCUUAUAGUGUUUGGAUACUUCUAUCAGAGUUAUCCUGUUUAAUUUUACUUUUGGGAUGGUGCUAAAAUCCUUUUCCUUCUUGUUUUCCAUUAGGUGGUGUGAAAAAGUUUCCGGAGUUUAGUUAUAGUGAUGGUUCUUACAUUCCUAAAAGAAGCAGGCGGUCUAUGUGGAAAGCCGCAGUUGAAAGUAGCAAAAACAUAUCUCAGCUUGCUCUUCAGGUUUGUCUUCUAUCAUCAAUGCAUAUUCAAAUGAUUGUAUAUCUAUGAUUUUUUAAUUGAUGAUCCCCUAAAUUCAACUGAAUCUGGGCCAGGUUAGAUACCUAGAUCUGAAUAUAAGAUGGAGUGAACUUGUACGCCCAGAGCAAAACGUGCAAGAUGUUAAAGGUCCAGAGACAGAGGCCACUGUUUUUAGGAACGCUAGUAUUUGUGACAAGAAGAUUAUAGAUAACAAGGUUAGAUAUGGAGUUGUCUUUGGGAAUCAAAAGCAUCUGCCAUCCCGUGUCAUGAAGAAUAUCACUGAAGUCGAGAAAACUGAAGAUGGAAAGGAAAAAUAUUGGUUUCUUGAAGCACGCGUUCCCUUAUAUUUGAUCAAAGAAUAUGAAGAAAGUUUGCAUAGGGUACACAUACCUUUCAUCAAGAAACCGUCAAGAAAAAUAUCAAAGCUCCAGAAAAUGCAACUUAAAGCUUCUCGAGCGAACAUAUUUUCUUAUCUAGCCUCCCGGAGGGACAGCACGGAGAAGUGUUCUUGUGCAUCAUGUCAUCUCAAUGUUUUUGUGAGGUAUUUUCAUUUGCCUUCUUUCCUGUCAGGAUACUUAAUAAAAAUUCUUAUGUACCUCAUUAUUUUUGGUUCCCGUUCUCUAUGUCCACAGGGAUGCAACAACAUGCAGUACUUGCCAAGGUACACUACACCUGGUUGCUGUUUUAAUUUUGCAAUUUAGGUUGGAGACUUUUGCAAGUUAUUGGUAUUUGUAUGCAUUUGACAAGAGAUGUCAUUAUUUCCUAUGCCGUUUUCUUUGUUUUUAAUUGUUAAAGUUGCAGUAUCUGUUUCCUUAUCUCAAGAACAAGUAGAAAAAUUCCUGCAUACACAUAAAAAAAGAGUUUCUUUUGUUUCCUCAUCUGUAUUUCUUGAUGAACGAAUUCUAUUGCAAUUCUAUUUUUUGUUUGUUUCAUAUUUUUCGAGGAUGAUGUCCUCUGCUUAUAUUUGUUUAUUUUGCUUGGUACUGAAAUUCUCAUGGAUCUCAUAUUUGUUUUGUUUUUUCCAUUGGCUAAUUUUGCUGAAGGAUUUGUAGCGAUAUAAUCAUUGAUUUAUUUUUUUUCCCUCUCAGGUUACUGCCACAAGGAAUGUACUAUGAGUACACCACACACAAGUGGGAGAGUUGAACUUUUGGUAACCUGCAAACGGUGCUACCUUGCAAGAGCCCGUUCACUAAUCAAUAUCAAUCAUAGGCAUCCAACAACAGCUGCUGUCCUUGUCAACAGACCACAUCAAAAUGCAGUCACUCAAGUCACCAAGACACAGGGUAAGAGUCUUAAUCAACAUGCAGUCACUCCAGUCACCAAGACACAGAUUAAGCCUCUUAAUCAACAGUUAGCAUCUUCCGACAUACGCAACACCACGUCAGGAGUUAAACAAAUCACUCCUGAUUCCAAUUUGGCACCUAAAAGUAAACACAAAACAUUGUCUUGGGGAGUCAUAUGGAGGAAAAAGAGCUUGGAAGACACAGGUGUUAGCUUCAGACAUCAACAUGUUCUGUUGGCUGCACGCUCUGGUCAGCCGAAUCCGGAACCAGUUUGCUGGCUCUGCAAACUGCCGUAUAAUCCUGGUCUAACAUAUAUUCACUGUACAAGCUGUGACAGUAAGAAAAGUUUACUCUAAAAUUCUAUAUGGAAGUGUAAAUUUCGUCAAUGCCACCAGUUUCCUCUUACAAAUCUAAUCCUAGCAUCUGUAUGCAGAGUGGUACCAUAUCGAAGCGAUUAAGCUCGAGGAAUCGAAAAUUCCUGAAGUUGUUGGGUUCAAGUGUUGCAAAUGCCGUCGUAUAAGAUCACCAGAUUGCCCUUACAUGGAUCCCAUACUGAGGGAACAGAAGCAGAUGAAACAAGUAUUCUCCAGGAGGCAGAAACCUAAGAAAGGAAGUAUUGGAAUGGAUUCUGAUUCUGAAAGAAUGUCUGAACCAAAAGACUCCAUGCCCUCUACUCCCUCAUUCCCCUUUGAAGAUACGUUUGUUCCAGAGGAUGAUCCUCUCUUGAUGUCAGUUUCAAAAGUUGAACAAUCUACACCUAACAAUGUGGAUGUCGAAUGGAACGGGGAUGGUUCAGUGCCAGGACCCCAGAAGCUACAAGUUAGGAGACAAGUGAAACGUGAAGACACAGACGGGAAUAGUAGUUUUUCUUACACCGAGUUUUUAAUGCAACCCGAAUCAAUACCUAUUGUGAAACCAGAAAUGGAGGCAACAUUUCCUGUCAUGGAAUGGGAUGCAUCUGGCAACAACAACAUGGUUGAAGGCGAGCUAAUGUUUGACUACGAAGACAUGGAAUUCGAACCUCAAACAUAUUUCUCUCUUACCGAGUUACUCACAACAGAUGAUAGUGGCCAGUGCGAUGGGCAUGGAGAUUACAAGAAUGCUUUAGGAAACAUGGAUAACCCGAACCCUCAGGUUGAGACAACAGUGGAACAGUGUAGAGCAUUUCUCUCUGACAAUACAAUUCCAUGUCAGAUAUGUAUGCAUGUGGAUCCUGAACCUGAUCUCACAUGUCAGACUUGUACUAUGACUAUACAUUCCCACUGUUCUCCAUGGGAGGAGGAAUCUACCUGCACGGGAGGUAGCUGGAGAUGCGGUCGUUGCCGUGAGUGGCUGUAGCUGGCAGGUUUUCUCCUCCCAAAGUUAAGUUUCCAUACAAUUCUUUUAUGUUUGCAUUUUCUGGCUAUAGGCCAUUUGUGCUGCUUUUGGGGUUUUUAAUGAAGGGAAUACAAAGAGUACGUGUUGUCAAAAGAAGUAAAUUAAAUUUGUAUGAAAAUAAGUAAAAGCUCUCCUUGCAAGGCACAGGAGAUAAGCUCGUAUUUCUGUUGUUUCUGCAAAGGAGUCUCCGAGUUUCUUUGAUGCUCGUUUUGCUUGAGAAUGAUACCAAUACUAUAUAUACCAAGUCUUGAAUGAUAUUACUUGAGACCAUCGGUGUUCUGGUACUGACUUAAUGCCAAUAUUUAUUUGGAUACUAGAAUACUUGUAAUUUUGGAAAGAAAUGAUUCUAGAACAUAUCCAAUUUUAUACAACUCCUUAAAGUAGAUAAGGUUUUUAAUUGUUGAAAUGUUAUGCGUUUGGGAUGUGUUUUGGUAAUUUCCCUCCUCUAGUUACUGGAUUUACUAGAGAUUAAAACCUCUCAAUGACAUAAAAUAAGACCAAACAAGGCGAGAAACAGAGAUUCAUUCACUUAGAUAAAUCAUUGGAGAAACAGAUUGAAAAUAUAUAGGAACAAGAGCAAGAGCUGAUCAACCACUUGACCUCACAAUACAAAUGUGCAGAAUGAAUGCAAAAUUUCGUAGCUAACUCAACUCGCCCGCUUUGGAUAACAGGCACAAAUAUGAUCAAAACUAGAUUUUCUAUUCAACCCUCCCCCUCUCCCCAUCGGUCCUACAUUUACUCUCCUAUCAUUCCACAUUUUUUGCCACACAAUCUACAAUAACGAAAAAAAAAUAUUUUUCGAUAUCUGCAAGUAUUCUCUUACCCCAAUGAAGUUAAAGUAAGCCAGCAAGCAGAGCUCCUGGAUCAUCAGCUAAAGCGGCCGGGCUAGGCGGUUGAGCUACAGGUGGUGUGGGUGCUGGUCCUGGUCCUGCUGCUGGAACUAGAGCUCGAGAUCCCAUUGGUAUAGUGAUUAAUUGUUCCUUGAUGAAUUCUUUCAACCUGUGGAUAAAAGAGGUCAAUAAAUGAAGAGGAACAAAAACUGUGUUUGAAGCUGAAUUCCUGUUAAGAGGCAGAGAUAUCAUACUCAAAUGUUAGAGUAGGAUCUCCAGAGCCUACAGUCAGUCGCAGUUGGGUUCUGUCUGCUGGGUCUGUUUCAAUUCUUGCCUAAAAAUCACAAAACUUGAACAAUGUCACACAACAGACUCUUUGAGAGUGCAAUAACUGAGGACAAGUGCCAAAACCAGUAUGAGAAACUUGGGUAAAAUGCUCACCAAACAGAGCAUGGCUCCUGUACUUUCUGAGUAGAAGGUUGUACUUGCCACUAGAUUAUUAGGGUUUGGAUCCUGCAACAGAAAACAUUACAGUUAAUUUAAAGGGUGUGCAACAAGCAUGUGGGAGAUUGUAACCAAAUUACUUACAAGCCCAGGGCAUAUCGUCACAUGGAAACUGUUGAAUAGAUUUGCCAUUUCCGGAAGAGCAAGUGGUCUUACACCUCUAACCUGAAAGAAGUUGAAGUUUCAGAUUACUGUAUAUAACAGGUUACCGUAAUGCUGCAUUAACAAGCAUAUGUAGACAUGUUGGAAGUCCUGCAUGAGUGAUUUGGGCCACUUAAACGAUCAUUAGUGGAUAUUGCAGUUAUCUACAAGCGUUGUGAUUAAACUCAAAAUUCACUAAUUUCAUUUAAAAGAAAAUUCUCAGGAGAAUUUUACUUCUUUCCUGCACUACUCAAAUACUUUUCUUUGAUAUUUGGCCAGAGAAGAUGUGGAGAUACAUACAACUUCUUGAAGUUUCAAGGGUGGCCCUGAAAGUGCUCUCCAUUGCGGGAAGAAUUCUUCAGAUGUCAAUUGCAGAGGUUGAAGAAACUUAUUCAAGGUUGCUGGGAUUCUUAGUUUUGCACUAACCUAUAAAUAUCCAGCAUGUCAGAAAGAGUCGCACAUACUAUCAUACUAAAUAAACCAUUCACCAAAAAGGACAGUUGCAGUAAGUACCAGGUUUGUACCAAACUUGUAGGAGAAAUCCAAAACCGCAACAUCCCUACUAGGGCGGAUGUUCAUCACUUCAAGUGGGGAUUGUACCUAUAAUUAUGAAAGAAAUUACAACACUUAGUAAAGUACGCAGAAAUGAGUAGAAAUUGACAGACUGAGACAUGGAGUAGUAAAUUGGAAAAAAAUCAACAAACAAAUGUACCUGUGCUCGAGGAGGAAUCGUAUCAGGUACUGGAGACAGAUCUAGUCUUAAAUGGGCAGGGGGUAGUAUCAAAGCUUGGACUGAUGUAAGUGGAGAAGUAUUCUUGUUUCCCAUGAAGAGAACAAGUCUCCCAUGGUGUCCUCUCCAUUCAGCUUUGAUGCCAAUCUGAGGAAUAUAAACAAUCAACAUAAUGAGGAACAUAAGAAAGCUCAAAAAGUAGGAGCCUUGCCUGUCAGCAAUCUGCGUACUGAAUAGAUACAAGCAGCGAGAAAAGAAAUGAUAUAGGAAAAACAAACCUGGAUAUGAGGAUCCUCGUAUAAGACACCACUGUCUUUCAAACAUAGAGCAUGAAAUCUCUCGGCAAUAUUUCCGAUCAGCUGUUAGAGGAAAAAAGUGUAUAAGAAAACAAUUCUAGCAUGUCAACAGUACUAUGGAGUACAAUAAUGAUUUGGUUUCUUCUAUUGAUAUCAAUUGUAAAUGUAUACAAUGUCGAUUACGACAAAUCCACCAAGUUUAGCAGCUGUAAUAUUAUUAUGUGAAACAACUCCUGAGAAGAUUAGAACUGUGAAAUAGAACCUCUCAGGUAGAAUUCCAUCUAAUUGUAAUACCAUUUCCAAAUAAUUUACAAAAAGAGGAAACAGAAAUUAGAAGUAUAACUUCAUCCAUGCCAAAGAAACCAAAGAAGAAGAAAAGAAUACCUCCACUGAAUUUGCUUGCUCUUCAACGGGUACAAUGGCGGAACCAUCAACUUCAUCUGGAACACCUUCUGCCCGUGUGGGGCCAUGUUGUUCGGUAGAGACAGAUCCAGGUGGAGCCUCUAUCGCAAGAGGACCAAGCAGGUCACUUAGGAGAUCAGGUGAUGGAGUUUGUGGAUCUAUAUUACUAGUUCCAUAUGGCUGAGAGAGAGAUCGAGCCACUGAAUCAGGGUCCUGCUAGACAUGCAAGGAAAUACAGACUGUCAGAGAUAAUAAGAUAAAAUUAGGUGCUAUAUAAAGACAAAGCACAAGAACAAUGUCUCGUCAACUGGAGCCUACAAAGAGAAGUAAAUACUUACUGUGCUUCCACUUACAAUUGGCACCUUCAAAGGUGGGGGUGCCCCAUCAACAGGUUGUGGGUCAGCCAAAACCAAAGCAUUUGAAGGCUGUUGUUGUGUUCUAAGCUUGAUGGCACUCUGGUCUGCGGUAUCUUCAACGUCUUCUGCCUUUUUAAUCAAUGAAGACUAUGGAAGAGACACGGAAAAUAAUCCAGCAUCAGAUCUAUUAGCACAAACGUCCUUUCAAAGUAACAUUCAUAGAAUCAUAAAUAAUUUUGAAACCUGGCGCUCUGGGAAUUUUGGCAUUUCGGCUAAUACAUCCAUAAAUGCAGCCCCUUUUUUACUCAAUUCAAAAUAUUCAACUGCCCUCUGUUGUAUCUCCACAUCAAUACAACUCUCAUACCUGCCGAAAUAAAACUCUUUUAGGAAACUUGAUUUGAUUACCAAAAAAUAACAGAACAUAAAAUGAGACUGGUAAAGGACAACAAGGUUAGCUACACUCACUUUUUAAAUACAGCCCAAAUUUUUUUUUGCAGUUCUGGAUCCGGGGGUUGAGUGUGCAUAAGAAGCUUUGCAUAUGUGGAAAGAAGAAUAGGAAUCGUGGGAGUCCUGAGGAAAUAGUAGAAGAGGCAUUUUAAGACAUACCCAAAGACAAGAAGAACACAAUGAGGAGUUUGUAUUGUCCUUACGACACUGUGGGAAGCUUCUCAUGUAAGAUGCUAAAGAGUUCAGUAGCACUGCAUCCAGGUUGUCUAGCUAAAAGGUGACCAUACUCCCCCAAAAUAUAAGCACUGACCUGAAAUAUAGAAAAUGACCAAAAAGUUCGUAUUAAGCAUUGAUAUUUUCUACUUUUCAAUUCAGAACAGACAAUAGCAAGGUAGUAACUCUAGUUACCCAGUUAAAGUUAUAUUAUAACUAAUCCGAAUAUGCAAUAUAAAGAUUUUUUAAUGAGAAACGAGAAUGUACAACCUUCAACAUGGUCUCAUGUAUUGCGACUUUGUCCAGAUAUUCUCUUGCUUUUGAUGCGGCAUAAGGCUGUCAGAUCAAAGAAAAUUGUAAGCAACUUUCGAAUGUUUUAUUAGGAUAAACAAUAUAUUUCUCCUAACAAUUUUGAAACCUGAAGGUCUUCAUUAUUUGUUACAAACUGAACCACACGAAACCAAAUGUCAUCACUAACGAAAUCCCCAGCCUUGUCGAUCAACUGAAGGAUCACAUCAACAUACCUGAGAACAUCAAAAUUAGAAUCUUUGACCAACUGCUAGUGUAAGGGUCUAAAGGUCACUGUAACCAAAAUUGUCUGCAUGAAAAAAGUGUACAUAUACUUUUUGUGGAGUUCUCCUUACCAUGAUAGAUCAGGAGCAAACUUCUCAGCAAGAAUAGCAGCUUUAAGUGAUAAUUCCUCCCGCAUGGAAAACUCUGCUGUGCUAAGAUACUGUAAUGUAUAUUUGGGUUUCAUGUAAGCUUAAACACUACAUAAUCCUUCCUUUGUGAUAAACUUAUCAAGUCAUAAGGACACUAUAAAUAAAAUAUCAAUUUGAAGCAAGGUCAAACACUUACUUGCAACAACUCUUCGACUAUAUCCUUUGCAUUUGACACAUCGCACAUUCCAUAGAGCAAAUCAAGAGCACGCCUACGAAUACUGCAGAAAUUUCAACCAAUAAUGAGUCUGAUAGAAAUAGCAAAAGAACCAAGAGAAUAUAAAUUAAACUAUUGGAUCUUAAAACAGAAUACACCAUUUGCAACUGAAAUAGGAUUAAGACCAAAUGGACUGUCGUACUCGAUCUUAUUAUUAAAAAAGUUCAUCUUAUUAUUAAAAAGGUCAAAGAAACAGUACUUACCUAUUGGAUUCCAUUGCCUAAGAGUUUCAUAUACAACUCAUGUCACUAAUUUUAAUUCUGGCUGAAUUGAUCUUAAAUCCACAUCUACUCUUUUUUUUCCCCUCAAAUCCACAUUAUAUGGUAUACUGAAUCAAUGACCGAUUUCAUGAUUAAAAAAAAUUGUCCUACUGGUUCCAAGUUUGAGCAGUAAAAGAGAUACUGAUCCGGGUACACAAGCCAUAAAAGCUGAUGCUGAGAUGGCAAAUCUAAACAAACCUGAUAUCAGGGUCUUUCAAGGAAGUAAUUAUCUGAGACUGAUGCUUCUUUAUGAUAUCUUGAACAUCUGUGACCAUCAGCAUUCGUGUCAUAUUUUCCUGCAAUGUUUUCAAUACAUGCAUCAUGAGAAGCCCCAUAGUGCACCACCAAACACUUUACAAAUUACUGUUCUAGCUAGGCUUAGAUACAGGAAGUGGGUAUCUGAGAUCUUACCAAGCCUAGAUAUCUGAUGUUGGGUUCCCGGACAGAAAUAAACUUGCCAAGAAGAGCAACACACUGUGACAUCAUUUCCUUCUCCGCAUCAAGAUGCAUGACCUAUAUUGGAACACAUUAAUAAGUUAGGAGGUUGCAUACUGUAAUUCAGCAAAAGCAAGUCAACUAUCCAUGAUAUAACUCUCAAAAAUAGCGUCGAAACCUUCAAGCAGAGAAAGUCAUAUAACUUACUUUUAAACAAGAAAAAAAAAUACAGACACAUGUAGGUUUCACCAGCAAGGCAAAAAAAAAACCAUUAAAAAAGAUCCAUGCACAAGUCAGUAUUCUGUUUUGAGUAAAUGUAAUUUAACCGGAAGUUGAGGAGGUGUGUGUGAAGGGGAAGGGGAAGGGGAAUGGGAGAGAGACAAGUGCACUAGUAAAAUUCAUGGUAUCAACUUUUUUCCCCAGCUGCCUUAAGAACUUACCAGGGCUAGAGCUUCAAACAGCACAGCAUGAGACGCAUUGUUCUUAUUCACAUUUUUCACAACAUCUGUCCCCAUCAAUAUUCGCUGAAGGACCUGAAAUUUCCAUGAAAUGCCAUGAGAGAGAAUUCAAAGAUAUAUAUAAGAGUUUUACACAAGAAAAAACUGAACCUCAAAGAGAGCUUUUCUGAUACUGGGAUCUUCAAUGGUUGGAAAAUAUUGAAGAGCCCUCAUUGCCUUAACCUGUACUAACCAAAGAUAUAUAUAUAAGUAUCCAAGACACCUUUAACUGAGCAACAAAAUACACCAAAGCUGGGUCAAGCCUCUACGUCUAUAAGCUAAUUCUAUAUAAAAGGUUUAUAAUGCAUGGGAUUGGAAAAAGGAUGUGACUAAAAAAAAUUUAAGCUAUGUUAAACAAGACUAAAUAAGCCAGUUAAGACAAACCUGCAGCCAAGGAGAUGGAAUGCCAUAGUACGUGUACUCCUGAGGAACGUCCUGGUUCCUAGCAAGACGUUCCAGUAUUUUGACACAUUUAGGUAGACAACUUGAGUACGCCUCAUGAUUAUUAGAUACCAGAGCCACAAGAAGACUUGUAGAAGAUGUCAACACACCAAGAUCUCGUUCAUCCAAAAGUUGUGCCAUACGAUCCGCCCUGAAAGUAUAUGGCAAUGAGAAUAUAUAUAAAAGAUGUAGGAGAAAAAUCAAACAACCAGUAACCCCAGAGUAUUAAACAUACCAGCCAUCCACGUUGACAGCAUCAGGAUUUUUACGGAAUAAGCGCAGUAGGCAUAGUGCUGCUUUUUUCCUUACGAGAGGUCUACAACUACUAGAAAUCUGCAGCAAACAAGCUCCAUAAUAUUAAUAUGAUUACUUCUAUUGAAGAAAACCCAUAACCUGUCAUCUUUAGGAGUUACUUACAAGUAGCUUUUGAACAUCAGGUGCCAAUGAUUCAGAAAAAUCUCUUCCACCAAUAUUUCCAACCUACAGGACGAAGUAAGCAUUGCAGGGUAAGAGAGCAUAAAAGGAAGCACCAGUUUAUUGAAGUAAAUGACUUUGAAUCGUGAAAUGGUAGAGCACAAAAGAUAUAAUGUAUCCAACGACUUCGAAUAAAACAGUCAUUUAACUGCAUCUCAUCAUUAGAAAGACCUCAGUAUGCUCUCAGAUUUAAUCUCAGAAUAGAAAAACGAUCACAUACCAAGGUCAAUGCUAGGCACUGGAAAGUCUCAUUCCGACCAAUAAUAUCGUUCCGCACUGUAUUUAUUGCCAACCUCAAAAAGUCAUGGUUCUCAUUGAGCAAGCAAGAUGUAACAAUGUAGCCAACCUGUAAUCAUUGAUGGAAAUUUUAAUACCAGCAACUUAGGUAGGGAGCAUAAAAGAAUAAAUUAAAAUUCAAACCCUUGGGAUACAAUGCAUGGUUAAGAGUACCUAAGAUAUUACUAAGUAACUCAUGCGUAUAAGCAAAUGACUCCAAUACUUAACCAGGUCCAGUCAAACUGCAUAAGUUCUAAGCACGAGAAAUAGUAUCUAGAUCUAGCUUUCCACUAUAUCUAGCUUUGACAACUAGACUUGAAUCAAACAAAUUCCCCCACCUAUACUCUUCUCCUAGCCUUCGAAGCAAUUUCAUUUCUUGAGCAAACAAAACGAUGGUUUACCUGCUUUUCUGGAUACUUUGGUGCAGAUAUAAGAGAAACUGCCUCCAUAUGGCCAAAAUCCACAUCAUAGCCUAGCAUAUGUAUAUAAAGCAUUUUCCAGACAUAUUUCUUCUUUUUAUAUGGUGUCAAAACCUGUAAAAUGAAAAAUAAAAAUGGAGAAAGAUAUCAAAGAGUGCAUGAUUAACUAUUUUAUUCAUUUCUACAAUGAAACUCAAAAAUAAACCUGGUAUUGGUACAACUGGCCACACAUGGACACUACAGGCCGGCUACAGAUCUUCUACUUAGGGUAUGGAACCAACAUUUUACCCAAAACGUCUUACAUCAACACAGCUUACUGAACUACAGAAUUCGCUAUUCCAAUCUUUCAGUAACCUUGAUUUCUUUCCUUAGACCAUUACUACAUAACCCAAUUUACUGCCUGGCUAUCAUUUCCUUCUAGUUCCAAAAUAUGCUCAGAUAUUCAAUGUUCUUAUACAAUUUCACUGAUCACUCGGAAGAAGAAUUAACAAGUAGUAGUUUAUUGUCUCCCAUCUAUCAACUUGAAAUACACAAAUGACAUUCCAAGUAGAAAGCAGUAGUAGUGAUGUUUCAAAAGGUAGAAUAAUGGCUAAUCACCAAGGAUUAUACAACAGAAACAUUAUACUGCCAUUCCAGGUACAUAAUUUGUGUUAAGUAAAAACUUUACACUGAGCAACUCUGGUUUUCCCGAUUAGAAAAAUUCGGGGAAUCUUGAUUCAACUACAUUCUUUUCUAACUUCCUCAUCAACCUAAUAGCUCUAACUGAUUCUAAGUGAAACAAUAGAAUAAGGUAGCUGCAAAGGAGAAAUCUCUAAUAUCAAUAUAGAACCUCAGCGGCUACUUGGACACUGACUUAUCUCUCCCAGUUGAGAAUAAGAGAUAGAAAACAAAAAAGGGAGGUAAUUGACACAAACCUUCUCAUUCUUGAAGCAUGUGCGUAUGUUUCCGAGCUCUUUAUCAACUCGGAGUCUCUCCGCUUCCUUGUUCUGGCAAUUACGAAUGUCACUAAUAAAUACGGAGAGACCUCUCAUUCCGCUCAUGGUGGAGCCGAAUCCUUCAAAUCCGCCGCCGCUUCACACGGCGCAGAUCCAAACUCGCGAUACCAGAUCUAACUACGACGUGAACCCGUAGACUACAGAUGAAACAUAAGCAAUUCGCGAAAGCUGAGAUCGAAACCCUAAUCUAGAAACGGGAAAUGGCACCUCCAAUUGGAAGAAAAUUCAAAAGCUAAGUGAUCUGAAGACGACGACGAUCUCAGAAACGGGGAGGAGUGAGACGACUUUUACUUUUCUUUAUUUACAACUAUGACAAUCCAAUUUUGUUUAAUUUUGUUUUAGACAAUUUUUGGUAAACCUAUGGAUUUCGAAAAUCCGAAAUUUAUGCGUCUAGGCAUUGGGACUGAAUUUGAGAAUUUAUAAGUUUGUGUACUAUUUUGUCAAAAAAUCGUCUUCUGCUACUUAUUUGGGUAAUAUUUUUUUUGUUUAUUUAUUUAAAAUUACCGUUUUCGGUCACGGUAAAUGCAGAUGGUAUAUUUUAGUGCACCCUGGGAUAAUCGGGUUGUGAAUUCGGGUCAUGCCGUUGGUGUUUUAUUCAAAUUUGACGCAAGCUCACAAACAUCCCGAAUCAAUGCCUGUUGUGAUUUGUGAAACCAGAAAUCGAGGCAACAUUGCAUGUCAUGGAGACAUGAUAUGGGAUGUAUAUGGAAUGAUAUGGCAAUGACAACAACAAAAUAGUUAAAGGCUAGAUAAAGUUUUGAGUCUUGACUAGGACAACAUGUAAUUCGAACCCCAAAUAUAUUUCUCGCUGACCGGGCUACUCAAAGGAGAUGAUAGUGACAAGUGCAAUGGAUAUAGAGAUUACAUGGAUGCUUCAAGAAACAAGGAUAACCGAAACACUCAAGGUGAGACAAUGGGACAGAGCACACCCUUCUCUUAAUGACAAUACAAUUCUGUGUCGGAUAUGUAUGCUUGGGAUUGAGACGAUAUUGUACACUUCUUUAUGAAGUUUGGAACAUCUUUGUAAAACCUAGUAGUCAUAUGAUUUGAUGAUUAUAAGUAUGAUAUGACUAGAUUAGAAUCUCUAGUGCAAAAAAUAGACCUUCUCUCACAUAAAUAAUGAAGAAACUGACUGAGAAUAUUUAGGAACAGGAAAAAAGCUUAUACAACCACUGAUCUCACAAUACAAAUGUGCAGAAUGAACGCAAAAUUUUGUAGCUAACUCAACUCACCCGCUUCGGAUAACAGGCACAAAUAUGAUCAAAAACUAGCUUUCUAUUAAACCCUCCCCCUCCUCCCUCUUUCUCCCUUUUCUCUACAUUUACUCUCCCAUCAUUCCAUAUUUUCAACAUUACAUUCUACAAUAACGGAAAAAAAAAACUUUCGACAUGUGCAAGUAAUAUCUUACCCCGAUCAAUUUAAAGUAAGCCAGCAAGUAGAGCUCCAGGAUCAUCAGCUAAAUUCGCUGGGCUAGGCGGUUGAGCUACAGAUGGUGCUGGUCCUUGUCCUGCUGCUGGAACAAUAGCUCGAGAUCCCAUUGGAAUUGUAAUAAGCUGUUCCUUGAUAAAUUCUUUCAAUCUGUACAUAAAAGAGGUCGGUCAACAACUGCAGAUGAAAACAAGUUGUGUCUGAAGUUGAAGAGGCAGAAAUGUCAUACUCAAAUGUAAGGGAAGGAUCCCCAGAGCCUACUGUCAUCCUCAAUUGGGUUCUGUCCGCUGGGUCUGUUUCUAUUCUUGCCUGAAAAUUACAAAACACGAACAAUGUCACACAACAGACUUUUGAGAGCGUAGUAUUAUGUGUAUGUAUAAGAAAUUUAGAACAAGUGCCAAAACCAGUAGGAGAAACUUAGUUCUCACCAAACAGAGCAUGGCUCCUGUACUUUCUGAGUAGAAGGUUGUGCUUGCCACUAGAUUAUUAGGGUUUGGAUCCUACAACAGAAAACAAUACAAGUUAAUUUAAAGGUGUGCAACAAGCAUGUGGGAUGAAAAAAACUGAGAUCGUAAACAAAUUACUUACAAGCCCAGGGCAUAUCGUCACAUGGAAACUGUUGAAAAGGUUUGCCAUUUCCGGAAGAGCAAGAGGUCUUACACCUCUAACCUGCAAGACAUUGCAGAUUCGGAUUAUGAUACAUGUUUAAGUAAUACUGCAUUAACAAGCAUAUGUAGAAGUGUUGAAAGUCAUCUAUCAACAUUUUGAGUGACAACAUUUUGAACGAAUCAUCAAUGGAUAUCGGAUGCUAUCUAUAAGUGCUGUGAUUUAGCAAGAACGAUCAUUAGUCUGUUACAAGGAUUUUACAGAGAAAGAGAAUUCACUAAUUUCUUGGAAAAAAAAUAUUAGGAUCAUUUUUACUUCUCUCAUGCACUAUUUGAUAUUUGGUCAGAUAAGCUGAGGAGAUACAUACAACUUCCUGAAGUUUCAAGGGUGGCCCUGAAAGUGCUCUCCACUGUGGGAAGAACUCUUCAGAUGUCAAUUGUAGAGGUUGAAGAAACUUAUUCAAGGUUGCUGGGAUGCGUAAUUUGGCACUGACCUAUAAAUAUUCAGCAUAUCAAAAAGAGGCAUAGAAACUAUUAUACCAAAACCAUUCACCAAAAAAGAAGGUAGCAGUAAGUACCACGUUUGUACCAAACUUGUAGGAGAAAUCCAAAACCGCAACAUCUCUACUAGCGCGGAUGUUCAUCACUUCAAGUGGAGAUUGUACCUAUAACCAUGAAAUAAAUUGCAACACUUAGUAUACACAGAAAUGAGUGGAAAUUGACGGAUUGAGUAAUAAAUUGAAAAAGAAAAAAACAACAAACAAAAGUACCUGUGCUCGAGGAGGAAUUGUAUCAGGUACUGGAGACAGAUCUAAUUUUAAAUGGGCAGGGGGUAGUAUCAGAGCUUGGACUGAUGUAAGUGGAGAAGUAUUCUUGUUUCCCAUGAAGAGAACAAGUCUCCCAUGGUGUCCUCUCCAUUCAGCUUUGAUGCCAAUCUGAGGAUACCAACAAUUACAUAACGUGGAACAUAAUAAAGCUAAAAAAAAAAUAGGAGCCUUUCCUGUCUGCAAUCUGCGUACUAGAAUAGAUAAAAGCAGCGAGAAAAUAACUGAGAUUAGAAAAAUAAACCUGGAUAUGAGGAUCCUCAUAUAAGACACCACUGUCUUUCAAACAUAAAGCAUGAAAUCUCUCGGCAAUAUUUCCGAUCAGCUGUUAAAGAAAACAAAAGUGUAUAAGAAAACAAUUCUAGCAUGUCAAUAGUACUAUGAUGUACAAAAAUGGUUUGGUUUCAUUUACUGAUAUCAACUGUAAAUCUAUACAAUGUUAAUUACGACAAGUCCAUCAAGUUUAGCACCUGUAACAUUAUUAUGUGAAAAUAAAAAUCUAGAAACUCCUCAGAGAGUAUUAUGUGAGAAGAACUUCUCAGGUAAAUUCCAUCUAAGUAAACAUUAUAACAUUUCCAAGUAAUAAAUACAAAUGAGGUAACAGAACGGAAAAAUGACCGAUAAUUUAAAAACAUAGGGAAAUAAUUAUCUUGAAGAAAGUAGAAGUAUAAUUCUAUCCAUGCUAAGAUAUACUAUGCUAAAGAAAGCAAAGGAAGAAGAAAUACCUCCACUGAAUUUGGUUGCUCUUCCACAGGUACAAUGGCGGAACCAUCAACUUCUUCUAGAACUCCUUCUCCCCCUAUGGGACCAUGAUGUUCAGUUGAGACAACUCCAGGUGGAGCCUCUAUUGCAAGAGGACCGAGCAGGUCGCUAAGGAGAUCGGGUGAUGGAGUUUGUGGAUCUAUAUUACUUAAAGUUCCAUUAGGCUGAGAGAGAGAUCGAGCAACUGAAUUGGGGUCCUGCUAGACAAGUAAGGAAAAACAGACUGUGAGAGAUAAUAAGAUAAUAGUAUGUGCUAUAUAAGACAGAGCACACAAAACAUGACUCAUUCGGGGCCUACAAAGAGAAGUACUCACCAUGCUUCCACUAACAAUUGGAACCUUCAAAGGUGGGGGUGCCCCGUUAACAGGCUGUGGGUCAGCCAAAACCAAAGCAUUUGAAGGCUGUUGUUGUGCUCUAAGCUUAAUGGCACUCUGGUCUGCGGUGUCUUCAACGUCUUCUGCCUUUUUGAUCAAUGAAGACUAUGGAAGAGACACAGAAAAAAAACCAGCAUUAGAUCUAUUAGCACAAACGUCCUUUCACAGUAACUCAUAGAGUCAUAAAAUGUUUUACAAACCUGGCGCUCUGGAAAUUUUGGCAUCUCAGCUAAUACAUCCAUAAAGGCAGCUCCUUUUUUACUCAACUCAAAGUAUUCAACUGCCCUCUGCUGUAUUUCUACAUCAAUACAACUCUCAUACCUGCCAAAACAAAAUUUUUUUAGGAAAUUCGAUUGGAUUACCAGAAAAUAUAAACAGAACAUAAAAUAAUAAGCAAAAUAUUGGGAAGGACAACAAGGUUUGCAAGUCUCACUUCUUAAAUACAGCCCAAAUUCUUUUUUGCAGUUCUGGAUCGGGGGGUUGAGUGUGCAUAAGAAGCUUCGCAUAUGUGGAAAGAAGAAUAGGAAUGGUGGGAGUCCUGAGAAAAGAAAAAAGGGAAAAGAGGAAGCAUUUAAGACAUACCCAAAGAGAAGAAGAGCACAAUGCAGCAUUUGUGUUGCCCUUACGAUACUGUGGGAAGCUUUUCAUGUAAGAUGCUAAAGAGUUCACUUGCACUACAUCCAGGUUGUCUAGCUAAAAGGUGACCAUACUCCCCCAAAAUAUAAGCACUGACCUGAAAAUUAGAAGAUAACCAAUAUUUUGGUAUUAAGCAUUCUUAUUUUGUACUUUGCAAACAAUUUAGAUACAGAUAUAACUGUAUCAGAAUGUGUAGCAAGGUAGUAGCUCUAAUUCCAAUUUAAAUUACAUUAUUAUUUAUCAGCAAUAUGCAAUAUAGAGAAUGUGUUAAUGGGAAGCGAGAAUGCACAACCUUCACCAUGGUCUCAUGUAUUGCGAUUUUGUCCAAAUAUUCUCUUGCUUUUGAUGCGGCGUAUGGCUGUCAUAUAAAAAACAGUUGUAAGCUUUCUGAGUGUCAUGAGUAGGAUAAACAAUAUAAUUUAUCCUAAAAACGUUUUUAAACCUGCAGGUCUUCAUUAUUUGUGACAAACUGAACAACACGAAACCAAAUAUCAUCGCUAACAAAAUCCCCAGCCUUGUCGAUCAACUGAAGGAUCACAUCUACAUACCUGAGAACAUCAAAGUUAACAUCUCAACCAGUUGUUUGUGUAAGGAUCUAAAAAGUGACACCAAAUGGCCAAUGCAUGUCACUGUAACCAAAUUGUGUGCAUGAAAAAGGUGUGCAUAUACUUUUUUCGAGUUCUCCUUACCAUGAUAGAUCAGGAGCAAACUUCUCAGCUAGGAUAGCAGCUUUAAGUGAUAAUUCCUCCCGCAUAGAAAACUCUGCUGUGCUAAGAUACUGCAAUGUAUUUUUAGGUUCCAUGUAAGCUUAAACACUACACAACUUAAUCCUUCCUUUCUGUUAAACUUCACAAGUCAUAAGGAGAUUACAAAUCAAGAAAAUAUCAAUAUGAAGCAAGGUCAAAGAAUUACCUGCAACAACUCUUCGACUAUAUCCUUUGCAUUUGACACAUCACACAUCCCAUAUAGCAAAUCAAGAGCUCGUCUACGAAUACUGCAGAAAGUUGAAACCAAUAGUGAAUCUGAUACCAUUAGCAAAAGAGCCAAGAGAAUAUAAAUCAAACUAUUUAUUCUUGAAACAGAAGCCACAAUUUGCAACGGGAAUAGGAUUAAUACCUAAUGGACUUAAGAUAAAAAUAAUAGAGCUAUGACUGAUUUCAUGAUUAAAAAAAUUGUUGUUCUGGUUCCAAACUAGAGCAUUAAAGAGGUACUGAUCCGGGUUCACAAGCCAUAAAAGCUGAUGCUGAGAUGGAAAAUUAAACUAACCUGAUGUCAGGGUCUUUCAAGGAGGUGAUUAUCUGAGACUGAUGCUUUUUUAUGAUAUCUUGAACAUCUGUGACCAUCAGCAUUCGUGUCAUAUUUUCCUGCAAUGUUUUCAAUACAUGCAUCAUGAGAAGCCACAUAGUGCACCACCAAACACUUUACAAGUUACUGUUCUAGCUAGGCUUAGAUACAGGAAGUGGGUAUCUGAGAUCUUACCAAGCCUAGAUAUCUGAUGUUGGGUUCCCGGACAGAAAUAAACUUGCCAAGAAGAGCAACACACUGUGACAUCAUUUCCUUCUCAGCAUCAAGAUGCAUGACCUAUAUUGAAACAGAUUAACAAGUUAGGAGGUUGCACACUAAGCCAGAGAUUGUUGAGCAAACUCACAACUAUCCAUGAUAAACCUCUUAGAAAUAGUGUCAAACCUUCACGCAGAGCAAGUAAUAUUAUUUACGUUCAAACAAGAAUAAGAACCGACAAAGAAUUCAAACACACGAAGUUUCUCCAGCAAAGCCAAAAAAAUAUUUUAAAAUAUUCAAGCACACAUUAGUAUUCUGUUUUGAGUAAAUGUGAUUGAACCAGAAGUUAAGGAGGUGUAAAGAGGAAUGGGAUAGAGAUUGGUGCACUAGUAAAUUUCAUGGCAUCAAAUUUUUCCUCAGCUGUUUCACGAACUUACCAGGGAUAGAGCUUCAAACAGAACAGCAUGAGAUGCAUUGUUCUUAUUCACAUUUUUUACAACAUCUGUUCCCAUCAAUAUUCGCUGAAGGACCUGAAAUUUCCAUGAAAUGUCAUGAGAGAGAAUACAAAAUUUUUUUUUAAAGAUUUACACAAGAAAAAAUGAACCUCAAAGAGAGCUUUUCUGGUACUGGGAUCUUCAAUGGUUGGGAAAUAUUGAAGAGCCCUCAUUGCCUUAACCUGUACUAAUCACAGAUAUAUAAGUAUCCAAGGUACCUUUAACUGAGCAACAAAAAUACACCAAAGCUGGGUCAAGCCUCUUUAUAGGCUUAUUUCACAUAAAAUGUUUAAAAGCAGGGGAAUGGAAAAAGAUGUGACUAAAAAAAAUACAGCUAUGUUAAACAAGACUAAAUAAGCUGGGUUAAGACAAACCUGCAGCCAAGGAGAUGGAAUGCCAUAGUAUGUGUACUCCUGAGGGACGUCCUGGUUCCUAGCAAGGCGUUCCAAUAUUUUGACACAUUUAGGUAGACAACUUGAGUACGCCUCAUGAUUAUAAGAUACCAGAGCUACAAGAAGACUUGUAGAGGAUGUCAAGACACCAAGAUCUCGUUCAUCCAAGAGUUGUGCCAUACGAUCCGCCCUGAAUAUACAUGACGAUGAGGAUAUAUGAAAGAUGCACGAGUAAAACCAAACAACCAGUAACCCCAGAGUAUUAAUACAUACCAGCCAUCCACGUUGACAGCAUCAGGAUUUUUUCGGAAUAAUCGCAGUAGGCAUAAUGCUGCUUUUUUCCUUACAAGAGGUCUGCAACUACUAGAAAUCUGCAGCAAACAAGCCCCAUUUAAUAUUUUCACUUAUAUUGAAUAUAACCCAUAGCUUGUCGUCCUUUGGAAUCACUUACAAGUAGCUUUUGAACAUCAGGAGCCAAUGACUCAGCAAAAUCUCUUCCACCGAUAUUUCCAACCUACAGGACAGAGAAAGCAUGGCAAGGUAAGAAAGCUAGGAAAAACUAAUACCAAUUUAAUGUAGUAAAAAGGCUUUAAAUCAUGCAUAGAGCACGAAAGACAUAAUGUAUUCAAAGACUUUCACUAAAACAGCCAUUUAACUACAUCUCUUAAUCAGAAAGACCUAACUAUGCUGUAAGAUCUCAACGUAGUAUGGACAAGAGACCACAUACCAAGGUCAGUGCUAGGCAUUGGAAAGUCUCAUUCCGACCGAUAAUAUCGUUCCGCACUGUAUUUAUUGCCAACCUCAAAAAGUCAUGAUUUUCAUUGAGCAAACAAGAUGUAACAAUGUAGCCAACCUGUAAUCAUUGAUGAAAAGUUUAAUACCUGCAAAUUAGGUCAGGAACAUAAAACAAUAUAAAUUGAAAACGCAAACCCUUGGGAUACAAGAAUAGUUCCUGGUUAAGAGUUGCUAAGAAGUUACUAAGUAAGUCAUGCAUAUAAAUAAAUGCCUCCAAUACUAUACCAAGGCCAUCCAAACUGAAUAAGUUGCAAGGGCGUGAAAUAGUAUCAAAGUCUACCAUUCCACUAUCUUCUGAGUUUUUUUUUUUUCUUUUUUUGAGCUUAAUCACUAGACUUGAAUCAGAGAAAUACCCCCACCUAUUCUCUUCUCCUAGCCUUAGAAAGCAAUAUUUCAUUUCUUGAGAAAACAAAACAUCGACUUACCUGCUUUUCUGGAUACUUUGGCGCAGAUAUAAGCGAAACCGCCUCCAUAUGGCCAAAAUCCACAUCGUAGCCUAACAUAUGUAUAUAAAGCAUUUUCCAAACAUAUUUCUUCUUUUUAUAUGGUGUCAAAACCUGUAAAAUAUAAAACAACGAGGAGAAAGUAAUCAAAGAGUGCAUUUAAUUCAUUUCUAAAAUGAAACUCUUUCUACGAAUAAAUCUGGUGUUGGUCCAACUGGCCACACAUGGACACUACAGGUCGGCUACAGCUCUGCUACUUAUGGUAUGGAACCGGAAUUUCACCGCGACAUCAACAUAACUCUUCUUAAUUAGCUAUUGUAAAUCUUUCAGUAACCCUUCAUUCUUUCCUUAGACCAUCACUACAUAACCGAAGUUACUGCCUGGCCUUUCUUUCCUUAUAGCACUCUAAUAUAAUUAUGUUCUUAAAUAAACAUAGAAUAGUUUAUAGUCUUCCAUCUAUCAACUUGAAAUAUACUCACGACAUUCCAUUAGAAAGCAGUAAUGAUGUUUUAAAGAGUAAUAAAAUGGCUAGCUAUACAACGGAAACACUACACUGCAUCUUUGUUUCAACUACAUUCUUCUCUAACUCCUUUUAUCAACCUAUCCUCAUCUCUAACAUAAGGAAUUCUAAUUAAUUUUUAAGUAAAACAAUCUCAUAAGGAGAAGUAUCUCACAUAUCUGUAAUCAAUACAGAACCUCAAGGGAUACUUGGACACUGAAUUACCACUCUCAAUUGAGAAUAUAAUACAGAUAAAACAAAAAAAGAAGAUAAUGGACUGCCCACAGAGAAGAAGCCUCAAACCUUUUCAUUUUUGAAGCAUGUACGUAUGUUCCCGAGCUCUUUAUCAACUCUGAGUCGCUCGGCUUCCUUGUUCUGGCAAUUACGUAUGUCGCUAAUGAAGACUGAGAGACCUCUCAUUCCGGUCAUGGUGGAACCGAGUCCCGCAGAUCCACCGUCCUCCGCCGCCUCACACGGAGCAGAUCGAAACUCACCAAACCGGAUCUACCAAGGAAGUAAAAUCGCAAACUAGAGCUGAAGCAUAAGCAAAUUCGCUGGGAGCAGAGAUCGAAACCCGAAUCCAGAAACGUAAAUAAUGACACCUCCGAUGGAAGAAAAUUCAAAAGGAGAGAGUGAUCUUUGCACACGAGGAGAGAGAAGCCUGCGGGGGAGAGUCAGACGACUUAUACUUUUCUUUAUUUACAACUAAUGACUGUUUAAUUUUUUUGUGUAAUUUUGGAAAAUCCUAAAUUGACUCGUCAAAAAACAAAAUUACGCGUCUAGGCCUUUGGACUCAAUUUGAUAAUUUAUAAGUUUGCGUACUAUUUUGUCAAAAACUCGUCUCCUUGCACCCUCUAGGGUAAUAUUUUAUUUACUGCAGCUCAUUAAUUCGUUUCACUUUUACUUUGUCGCGGUGAAUGCAUUCAAUUUUACGAUGAGAAAUCGGGUUAGCUCGGGUCGGGUCAUGCCGUUGUUGUGUAUAUGGGCUAAGCUUUGUCCCACCACAAUAUUUAUGGGACCGAAUCGAGUAGGCAUACAAUUGUGUCGGUCUGGAGAAAUAUGUAUUUCAUUCUUUUGUCUGUUUCGGAUUAUUGAAUACGAAAUGUGAUUAUAAACUUUAUUAAUUUACACAAAAGUUACAGUUGAAGGAAUAUAGAUUAAUUGGAAUAUUAAAGUUAAUGAUGGGAGUAAAAAUAGUAUUAGGGGGGCACAAAACAGAAACAAGAGAACAAAAAAGAUGCGGAUCAUCAUUUAGUAGCAGUUGGAUGACAGGGGUGACCAAGCUGUCACUAAGAAGAUCCCUACAUCUAAUAUCAAAUGAUGCUUGCCAUUAAAGUAUCCUAAGAAUAUUUUGAUUCUUUUGUUUUUUUGCAAGCAAUAUAUGAUAUAUCGUUUUUCCUUUUUAAUUUGCUUUAAAAUUUUAUUUUACUUAUUUAUUGAUACCAACAAAUUCUCCUUUUCCAACUUCUUACUUUUUUUACGGGGAAAAAGGUAAAAAGGAAAGGGAAAAAAAUGUCUCUAAAAUUACACGAGUGAGUCACACACUCAAAAGUCAAAACGUCAAAAAGGCCAAAAAUGACGUUUAGUCGACGUAAUUCGCAAAAUAUUUUGUGGACACUUUAUUUAUUUAUAAAAUGCAGAUGCUAAAUGCUGAUAAAAUGUUCAAGAGUAUUGCAUUAUGCCUACGAUUAAGAAAACUAAACUCCAUGAGAUUCUCAACUUCCAAAAACCAAAUCGAAAUUUGUUGUCUCGAGUAUUCCGGUUAGAAGAAUCCGGUACAGCUCACUGACCACAUUCUUUCACUAGCUCUCGCUAAAAUACACUACUAAUCUCAUUAACGAUAUUUAGAUAACCAACAUCCCCCAUCAGAUUAGUAUCUUCGGAGGAAACAUCUAGGCUGGUUUACUACUGGACGCCGGACAAUUUGGCCCAAUCUACAAAUUGCAUACCGCCAUAUACAUUGUUAGCAAACCGGACUCCCACCGUGAAUGCCAUGGCCACCACAGGGAUGCGUUUGGCCGCGGAAGAACCUUCCACCACGCGUUCGAGGCCGUUGACAAUUUGGUAACGCGCAUUGGAAGAUAAGCCAAGGAACACACCUGAAGAAAAGCACAAUAUAGAGAAGAGAGUGAGUCUUUAUGUAAUCAACAAUUCAUAGAGUGAACUUCAGGUUUGUCUCUGAGCUCUGUAAUUAAAUUACCCUGUCCAUAAAUCUAAUAUUGCAAACAACAUAACAAUCUAGCUAAUACCUUUCACCAGAAUCUGUCGCAUAAUCAAUUCUUGGUAUCUAUCAUUGGCAAUUAAGGUUCUUUACUUUCUAAAAGCUAAGACAGGUUAAAAAAAAACCUAUGGCUGAUAACAAGAACUCGUAAAAAGAGUAAGACAACACAAUAUUGACGGUUCAAGACUGUCGUUUUCAACAUCAGAGUCGUUUACAUCCAACAUCAGAGGAGAAAAGCUAUCAUGACUCUGCAGAACAAAGUUAGAGAUCAAAAGAAAAGCUUACCCCAUAGAGCAGCGCUUUCGAAAAGAGGUGGAAUAGGGACGUCUUCCUCUGAUUUCUUCACACUCCUAUUGACAUAGGAAACCCCAAAUUUCAGUGAAGAACAGUUUUUAGACAUUCAAACCCCAAACCCCAGAGAAACUCAGAACUCAGAAGACUCAUUUCAUCAUAAACUCAGAUCAAAUAAGCUCGAUGGUGAAAGAAUACCGUUUUGCCGUCAUGAUCAGGUUUGCAAUUCCCUGACCGAUGAGGCCGCAGCCGAAUCCAACCGACCCAUACAAGAGUCCCUAGACAAAGAAACACAUCGAUUAAAUUAAAUCAAAGGUAAGGAUGAUCCACAAAGAACAAUAAAGCAAUAGUUCUUCUCCAUACCUUGUAGAAGAACGUUGCAAUGCGCUGGUUAACUGAGAAUUUACAUCCCGGUCUUUCAGCUUCAAAAACACUUCAUAAGAACACAAAAAAACCGUAUAAAUACAUCUCAUCCCGAAUAUGCAGCCAUCAUCAGUGGGAACAGUUAACCCAUUCCGAUAAGCACCAGUGGGAACAGGUAACCCAUUUGUACAUUACUUGGAGCCAUAAGUGAAGAAAAAAAAACAACCGAGAGACAGUGACAGUCUUACCUGCUAGGAAGGGAUGCACAAGCACGUCUAAGGUCCUUGAAUAAACCUGUUGAUGAUGCCACGGACGGCUUCCCAAUACGUGCAUAGGGAGCCAAUAAUCCAACCAACGCAACAUCAACCACAAGACCAACUAAAAGAUCAGCAGCAUACAGCUCAAACUCUGACCAGAAAUCUUCCCCUCUUUUCUGUACUUCUGCAAAAGUUGCACAGCAAGAGUCUAUGGCUACCUGCAUUAAAUCCGUAGAACAAGAUCUUUCACAUUCAAUCCUUGGACACAAUCCUAAAUAAGUAGUCCAAGAAAAAUGUUAGCUUAACCGUUGACAAACCUCGGUUCCAACUUUGAAAAGAAAUGAAGGAUCUGCAAGCAUUCUAUUUCGAAGCAUCGCACAUGACCUCAUCAGAAACCCAAGCGGCCAAACAGAACCCUACAAAAAUUUUAACCCUCAAUCAUGAAUACAUCAUACACUUAUAAUCAAAAUAAGAAUCACUAGCACAUUUUAACAAAAGCAAAAACCUGUAGAUCGAGGUAACGAAGAAGGAACAGUUUCCGAAUCCCCACAGAUUUAGCCGCCUCCAACAUAUCCUCCGGUAACGUAAUCCCUCUACGUUCUGUCUCUUUCAUAACUUCGUCAAACUUCAAUAUCGGACCAAACUCCUUCUCCUCAGCUUUAUCUGCUUCAUCCUCUCCAUCAUCGCCUUCUCCGUCUCCUCCUCCUCCUCCGCCUCCAUUACCACCAUUUCCACCGCCGUCAUUAUUCCCAUCCCCAUCGCCGCCAUCACCAUCAUCAAGCUCCGGCUCCAGAUCGCUUAAAGUCUCAUCCUUUAAGCCGCUAUAAGCCCACUCCGGUACUGAUCUACCGGAGAUUUCACCGGUAAGCACAUCCGAUCCCACACAUCGGAGUUUCAAAUUCCGAGAAGACAAGUCCGAGUUCAAAUGGAUCCGUCUAGAUUCAACACCAGGGCUUCUACGGAAACAAAUCGACCCAAUUCCAAACCUUUGACCGGCUCUGCAUUGCUUUCGCAGCUCUACACUAUUGAACCUAUCGUUGGAGAAUGUUGAAAUGUGGGAAAUUUUUAGGGAUAUAGACAUUUGCCUAUUCCAAAAUUCUCGAGUUUAUGUGAUCUAUGAAAUGAAAGUUGCUUAAAAGUUAUAAAUGAAUUUUGGAGUUAAAGACGGAAGAUGACGGAGUUAUGUAUGCGUUUUGAUCAGUUGGUCGAGGUUUAAGGGUUUUUGAACAUACAUACACUCAUGCCGUAAUAGGGGAGACGACCAAGGAGGAGAGAAUAAUCAGGUACGGCUAUCUAUACAGAAAGCUAAACAAAUGGCGACAUGGUAUUGGUUGAAAAGAUUCCGUAAAAGCAUAAUUAGGGAGUGUUUUAAUGACUUUAGAUGUUUAUUUUUUUGUACGAUUAAUGACUUUAGAUGUUAGGUAGAAUAUGUUGUUAUUCAAUCAAGAUUUUACUAAAUUCUUUUAAAGUUUGGUGAUAUUAGUUACUGAUUUGUAAAAAUUCAUUUAAAAUCUUAAUAAAUAUGUGGUUAUUGGAUUUGGAGUUUUACAAAGUUUAUGUGUUAUUAAAUUAAAACAAAAGAAUCUCUGAGUGUUAAUGAAUUAAAAUUUUGUGUUAUUGGUUUAUGAUUUUAAACUCUUUUUUUUACAAAAUAAAGUCAUAAAAAGUAUCUUAUAAAUACAUGGAUUGUUUGUGAGACUUUACAAGACUAUAAAAAAAUUAAUCAACAAGAUUUCAGAAAAUUCUCAAACAAUCCUUUAAACUCUCAAACAAUCAUAAUGAUUUUACUAAUCAUCUAAAUUUCUUAUAAGUUAGAAUCCAAUAACACCCCCUUAGUUUACUACUCCAAUAAUUUUCUCGGCCGUAGAGUCCCAAAUAAGUCAAUAACGAUUUCAUACAGCUCGAGUUUUUGUGAACCGUGAUGAUAAUAAAGAAGCAACUCUUGUGUUGGGUUUCUCGAAAUAUUGUCUGAAGAUCAAAUAAUUCGGUGCCGCGAGGAGCUAUAAGCUGAGAGAGCUUCCUUUCAGGGUGAGUCAUGGGAAGUUUCAUUUGAUUUUUUCGAGUUAAUCAGAACAUUUCUUUUUGGAUGAACUGAAUUUUCUGAUACUCUAAAAUUUGCUUCUAUUUUUUUUUUCUUUCCUAGUUUUAUUAGAUCGAGAGACUCAUCAUCAUUUCACUGUUGGUAUUUUAAAGUUUGAACUCAAGAUUUUUGGUAGAUAAAGGAGAAUCAUUUGUUUUUUUCAUCUAUAAGAAAUUGAAUAAAACUGAAGUUUGGAUUUGGUGAUUAUUAUGUCGAUGCAGAAGGAACAUCUAUUGAAUGGCCGAGGCAGUUGUAACUUUUGGAUUGCAGAAGCUAUGGGAGCUUCUAGUUCGAGAAACCAACCGGCUAAAAGGAGUCCAUAAACAAGCUACUGAACUACAAAGCGACUUAAAAAGGCUCAAAUCGUUUGUGAAAGAUGCAGAAACUAAGAAAAGUAAAAGUGAGAGAGUGAGAAACUGUGUGGAUGAGAUUGUAGAGAUUGUGUAUGAUGCUGAGGACAUAAUCGAGAGUUUUCUUAUCAAAGAAGAAAAGUGUGGAAGAGAAAGAGGGAUUAAGAAGCAUUUAAGGAGUGUUUCUUGUAUUACAUUUUCUGACCAGGAGUUUGGUUUACAAAUCAGAAGCAUUAUCACUAGAAUCUCCAAGGUAAUAGACAGUAUGGAGAGAUUUGGAGUGAGAGAGAUCAUCAACAAAGAAGAAGAAGAAGAACUAGUUGGUAAAUUUGUGGAGAUACGACAAUCUUUUCCUAGCGUUUCUGAAAGCAGCCUUGUUGGUGUGGAGCGUAGUGUUGAAGAAUUAGUGAGUCAUCUUGUUGGAGAGAAUGGUGUUCAAGUGGUCUCAAUAUACGGGAUGGGCGGUGUUGGGAAAACCACUCUUGCUAGACAAGUUUUUCAUCAUGAGAUGGUGCAGCGCUAUUUCAGUGGAUUCGCUUGGGUGUUCGUUUCACAGGAGUGUAGACAAAAACAUGUGUGGCGGGCGAUAUUACAGAGCCUUAGACCGAAAAGUGAGGAACAGAGAAUUGUGGAUAUGACAGUGUCUGGACUCCAAGAUGAGCUGUUUAAACUACUUGAAAUCGAGAAAUGCUUGAUUGUCCUUGAUGAUUUAUGGAGCAGUGCAGCUUGGGAGCUUAUAAAGCCAGCAUUUCCACAUAGAUCAGGUGAUUCUUGACCAUGAAUCAUAAUGUUUUUAUGUAGAAUAUUUCUGAAAUUCAAAAGCAUUUGUCUCAGUUGGUGUCUAAUAUUGAAACAUGGUCAACUUUUCCAGCUAGCAAGGUAUUACUCACUUCUAGGAAUGAGGGUGUUGGUUUGCAUCCAGAUCUAAGAUCCGUCAUCUUUAGGCCUAGAUGCUUAACUCAUGAAGAAAGCUGGGAAGUUUUUCAAAACAUAGCUUUGUUUGAGAGAAACGAUAUAGGUAUGCCCUUAACUAUACAAGAAACCAAAGAUAAAUUUGAAAGGUAAUCUAAACGCUAAAAAGAAUGAGCUAAGAGACUAAUGUUUUGUGUGUAGAGUUUCAGGUUGAUGAUAUAUUCGAAGAGAUUCAACAAAUGCUCAAACAUUGUGGAGGGUUACCAUUAGCUGUGAAAACUCUUGGAGGGUUGUUAGCUACAAAACGUACAGCGUCCGAGUGGAUAAAGGUACACAACAAUAUUGGAUCUCAUAUUGUAGGAGAGAUUGGUGAAAAUGGCGGAAUCGGUAGUUUGGUAUGCAAUGUGAUAUCUUUGAGUUAUGAAGAUCUACCUUCUCAUUUGAAGCAUUGCUUUCUCUACCUUGCUCAUUACCCAGAAGAUCAUGAGAUACAAACAGAGACAUUGUUCAAUUACUGGGUGGCAGAAGGAAUAGUGAUGAUGCAUAGUGAAGAGACUACUAUCGUAGAUCUAGCUGAGGAUUAUCUGGAGGAAUUGGUUAAAAGGAGUAUGGUAUUAGUUGGGAAGAGGAACACUGUGACAUCAAGAAUUGAAUCUUGUCGUCUGCAUGAUAUUGUUAGAGAAGUUUCUUUGUUUAAAGCUAAAGAAGAGAAUUUCAUACAAUUUUUCAGUGCUCAGAUCCUUGUCUCGAAUGCUACUAACGCUCUGUCACCAACUGUAUCCACCAACAGAUCACGCAGACUCGCUGUACAUUUGGUUGAUGCUGAAGAAAAUGAACCUUGUAUAUUUCAGCAAAAACAGAUUCAAAACCCCAAAGCAAGGACCCUUUUGUAUAUCACUAGAGAUUUCAGUCCUUGGAUAUUAUCAACCCCAAGUUUUGGAGGUUUACAAUCACUUAGAGUAUUGGAUCUCUUUGGAGCACAAUUCAGAAGACGCAAGUUACCUAAGGGCAUAGGGAAGCUGAUACACUUGAGGUACCUGAGUUUGAAAGAGACAAACUUGUCUGUGUUGCCGUCUUCUAUUGGGAAUCUAGUGUUGUUGGUUUAUUUGGAUUUGGAGAUUUACGAGACAAUGGUUCACAUACCAAACGUCUUAAAGAAGAUGAAGAAGCUGAGAUAUCUUAUGUUACCCGACGAACUAAGCUCUAAAACGAAGUUGGAGCUAAGUGCUUUAGUGAAGUUGGAGACCCUCAAGAACUUUUCAUUAAAGCACAGUAGCGCUAAAGAUCUCAUCAAUAUGACCAAACUCAGAACUUUGUGGAUCUGUUGUGCCUCUGUUAACCCUGAAGAGGAAGUAUUACCUUAUUCGCUCGGUGCAUCACUGAAACAGUUGGAGGAGUUGAUGUUAUACAACAAAAUAAAUGACCAGGCUGAAGCCAUGAAGAUCGAUGCAGGAGCCUUUGUUUCAAGUUUUCUAAGACUCAACCAAUUAAGUUUAGAUAUAAAGAUAGAUAAGUUACCUAAUGAAGCUCAAUUCCCUUCCCGGAUCGCUUUUGUUUCAUUAUCCUCUUGUGACCUACCCGAGGAUCCAAUGCCAGUUCUUGAGAAGCUACAUAGCUUAAAAAUUCUUAGUCUAGAACUUAAUGCUUUCACAGGGAGGAAAAUGGUAUGCUCAAAAGCCGGCUUCCCUAAAUUGCACACUCUAGAGUUUUCAAUACUUGAUAACCUUGAAGAGUGGGUCGUAGAAGACUAUUCAAUGUCGUGUCUUUGUCAUUUAGAGAUCAAUGACUGCAGAAAGUUGAAGAGUCUUCCUGGUAGAUUAAGAGACAUCACUACUUUAAAGGAGCUAAGAGUAGGAUGGAUGAAGAAUGAAUUCAAGAACAAGUUAAUCCAAGGUGGAGAAGAUCACUUCAAAAUCAAACAUGUAGCUUCUGUUAUGUUUUACAAUUGUGGGGACGAAUAAGAAACAAGUCUUUUGUCAUUAUACAAUACUCGACCAUUUUGUUUCUCACAUUUUGAGCACAAACUUGCUUCUGCAUACCUUGCUAUAACAUAGAAUCGAUGUUACAAAAAGGAAAAAGAAAAAACUUUAAAAUCAAUUUCACAUUUUAAACCAACCAAGCCAAUCCGAAAUUGUUCUAGUCAAUCAUAUCACGGUUAAGGUUUAACCAAAAAGAUUUCAAGCCAUUUCGUACUAAACCAAAAUUAGAAAAAUCUGAGAUUAACGGUUAAACGUUUACAACAGUACAAUAAGUAUUUAUUACUUCUAAUUUUAGUAAAUUUGUUAGCAUGAUUAUGUUUAACUCAAAUUGUCAUUAUAACAAAAAGAAUUAUUCUUAUUUUUUUGUCCACAGCUUUUAUAAAUAGACUCAAUUGAACCAAGAGUUUAGAAAAUUGUUUACAUAGAGACAAAGUAUCGGUUCAACACGCGCUCGGCGUGCCAACUUAUCCGCUUAAAAAUUAGAGUAACGAGAGACUUUAACUAACGAGAAAGAAAUAAACACUUCCUUGUUUUAAUGACAACUAGGGAUGAACCCGCACAUACGUGCGGGGUUGAUUUCGAAAGUUUGUAUUACAUACGUGCGUGCAGGGUUGAUUUCAAUAUAUUACAUAUGUGCAAGAUUAAGUUUGUAAACGUAUUUUUAAGUAAUGUUAUUUAAUUCAUAAUCAGAAGAAUUCAUAUCAGUUUCAUGUCGUUUUUAAUUCGAGUUAGAUAAAGAAAUUAUCAGAUUUGUUUUCGUUAAGUUAAGAACAUUACAUAAAAGAAAAAUAGUAAAACAAAAAGUCACAAUAAGAUGAUUAUUUUAUAACCGUAAUGUCCCAUCUCAUCUAUAUCAUGUUUUCCAUCUUAUAAUCGUGGUUUUAAAACUCAUUUGAGAUUAUAUAUUUUAGUCUAACAUAUAAAAGAAUAGGUAAGAGUUUCGGAGCCACAAAUACGUUUGCUUUGCUUUCUUCAAAUUUUUGAAUGUUUGAAAUAAUAAUCGCUUUAGAUCGACAUGAUAGCGGAUCCGGAUAAAGUGUAAACCGGAUUAGUGAUAAUCUAGAUUUCUAUGUAAAUCGUGAACUAUCAAACCAGGUAAAAACAACCAAAAAAAACACUAAAACUUCUUGAAACAAAUGACCCAAAUAUAGUUGUCAAGCGAGUCAAACUCGUCCACUAUGUCUGGCCUGCAACGAACUAUAAUAUUUUAACCCGCCAAAACCCGUUCUUCGAAAUUCGCAUGAGUAAAUAGUAUAUAUGUAUCUCCCUUAGUUGAAUAUGUGUUAUCCAAAAUUUAUGCCUUGUAUUUUACCAACAUUACGUUAGACACUAUUUUUUUAUUAUUUUCCGAAUUACCAGCGCUUUUCAUGUACCCAUUAUUUCAUCUUUCAAUAUUUAAAAUAAAUAGGAAAUUUUAGCUAUUUUAAUUUCACGUUUCUGUAUUGUACUCGUAAAUUGAUAUUUGAAAGUCAAAAUUGAAUUUAAUUAUCCAAAUUAUCCAAAUAUUUCGAAGUAUAUAAUGCUAUGUUCAACUCUCGGUAUUCCUCUAUCUGUAUAAUACAUUGAAUGUACAGAGGUGGCUUUAUAACUAUCAUACUAUAGAUAUAAUAUAUGUAGAUGUAACUUAAUAAUUUUCAUAUUUAGUGUAAAAUUUGAAAUUUUUAAAUUUUAGCUAGCCAAAAACAGUUUGUUAUUUUUAUGUCCAGUUCCAUAUUAUUAAAAAUAAUUUUUAGUAUUUAAAUUACAUCUUCCUACUAUUUUACGUUAUUUUUUUUUUAAUUUGCAAUAUAUAUAAUUUUAUGUCUACACCCACUACAUAAUCAAAAAGAUCAUGUCAUUAUCAUGGUUUGUGAGAACGAAAGAAUCUUGUUCCAUUUUAAAUAAUUUGUUUAAAAAUCUAGUUUAAUAUGUAGAUGUUAUACACUCGAUUUUGAAUCAUACAAAAUAUAUUUCAAUAUGUAGAUUUAAUAUAG